rnacentral:miRNA from 1 species
UGCUACUGAUGCCGAUGAUGAUGAUGAUGAUGAUUGGGGAGGAGGUAGUGGCUUUCGAGCAGAGGCAGCAUGUUUGACAUCAUCAUCAUCAUCAUCAUCAUCCUCU